GCCUUUGUGGUAUAGUUGGUAGCGCCUUGGCUUAGUAACAAUAAGUCCCAGGUUCAAAUCCCGGUUGGGGUA